UUCGGCCAAGAGAGUGUGCGAGCUGACCGCUCUGUCGGCGCACCCGGGUUGCCUUUUGAUUCGGGGUGACCGUAGCGGGGCGACACUCAGACCGAACCCCUCCUUUUCUCACAGUGCCUGUGCUGCAGCAC